rnacentral:rRNA from 1 species
AUGGUUCGGUCAUGGCUUCCGCCUCCUUCCUCCGACCACCAGCAGCAGCUCCCCCUGCACACCCUCACCUUCGCCAUCAAGGAGAUCUUCGACGUCGUCAUCCGCGUCACUGGGUUCGGCACCCCGGACUGGGCCCGGACGCACGCACCAGGUGCCGCCAUGACUCCCGCCGUGCUGGCCGCGCUCGCCGCCGGUGCAGGCGUGGGCAAGACCAUGAUGGACGAGAUGGCCUACAGCAUCAACGGCGAGAAUGCGCACUACGGCACUCCCUCCAACCCCUGCGCUCCCCGCAUCCCCAGCGGCUCCUCCAGUGGCUCGGCCGCCGCCGUCGCUGCCAGUCUCACCGACUUCGCCGGUACCGACAGCUGCGGCAGCGUCAGGGUGCCCGCCGCCUACUGCGGCAUCUUCGGCCUCUACCCUUCACAUGGACUGGUCUCCACGCAGAUGUUCAAAACCCGUCUGAUGGUGUUUUUUCUUACAAGGUGGUUUGCCAGAGAUCUAGCUACACUGUCCUGUGUCACCGACGUGCUGAUGCCGCCUCUACGAAGACCGCACCUACGACGACCGAGCCAUGUCAUCAUUCCUGCAGACUAUUUAAAAAUCUUGGGCUCCAUGGAAGACCGCACCUACGAAAUCCUCAACGCUUCAGCGGCCAAGGUAUUCGGAAAUGAUACAGUGGUGAACAAUGGCAACAUUGGUGAUUUCGUCUCUAGCAACGUUCCGAGCAUCGGCAAGUUCAUGACCGACUUGUCUGCGGUCGAAGCAUCAUCAUCUUGUGUGCCCUCUCUGUCUGCCAUCUCACGUGUCAUGCGUGUCCUUCAAUGGUCUGAAUUCAAAACAAACCACGCGGAGUGGGUGAACAUAGUCAAGCCCAACCUCGGCCCUGGCAUCCGAGAACGAGUGUAG